AGUGAACGCUGGCGGUAGGCCUAACACAUGCAAGUCGAACGGCAGCACAGUAAGAGCUUGCUCUUACGGGUGGCGAGUGGCGGACGGGGGAGGAAUACAUCGGAAUCUACUUUUUCGUGGGGGAUAACGUAGGGAAACUUACGCUAAUACCGCAUACGACCUACGGGUGAAAGCAGGGGAUCUUCGGACCUUGCGCGAUUGAAUGAGCCGAUGUCGGAUUAGCUAGUUGGCGGGGUAAAGGCCCACCAAGGCGACGAUCCGUAGCUGGUCUGAGAGGAUGAUCAGCCACACUGGAACUGAGACACGGUCCAGACUCCUACGGGAGGCAGCAGUGGGGAAUAUUGGACAAUGGGCGAAAGCCUGAUCCAGCCAUACCGCGUGGGUGAAGAAGGCCUUCGGGUUGUAAAGCCCUUUUGUUGGGAAAGAAAAGCAGCAGGUUAAUACCCCGCUGUUCUGACGGUACCAAAAGAAUAAGCACCGGCUAACUUCGUG
rnacentral:rRNA from 1 species